GGGUUGUGAGGUUAAGCGACUAAGCGUACACGGUGGAUGCCCUGGCAGUCAGAGGCGAUGAAGGACGUGCUAAUCUGCGAUAAGCGUCGGUAAGGUGAUAUGAACCGUUAUAACCGGCGAUUUCCGAAUGGGGAAACCCAGUGUGUUUCGACACACUAUCAUUAACUGAAUCCAUAGGUUAAUGAGGCGAACCGGGGGAACUGAAACAUCUAAGUACCCCGAGGAAAAGAAAUCAACCGAGAUUCCCCCAGUAGCGGCGAGCGAACGGGGAGCAGCCCAGAGCCUGAAUCAGUAUGUGUGUUAGUGGAAGCGUCUGGAAAGGCGCGCGAUACAGGGUGACAGCCCCGUACACAAAAAUGCACAUAUUGUGAGCUCGAUGAGUAGGGCGGGACACGUGGUAUCCUGUCUGAAUAUGGGGGGACCAUCCUCCAAGGCUAAAUACUCCUGACUGACCGAUAGUGAACCAGUACCGUGAGGGAAAGGCGAAAAGAACCCCGGCGAGGGGAGUGAAAAAGAACCUGAAACCGUGUACGUACAAGCAGUGGGAGCACGCUUAGGCGUGUGACUGCGUACCUUUUGUAUAAUGGGUCAGCGACUUAUAUUCUGUAGCAAGGUUAACCGAAUAGGGGAGCCGAAGGGAAACCGAGUCUUAACUGGGCGUUAAGUUGCAGGGUAUAGACCCGAAACCCGGUGAUCUAGCCAUGGGCAGGUUGAAGGUUGGGUAACACUAACUGGAGGACCGAACCGACUAAUGUUGAAAAAUUAGCGGAUGACUUGUGGCUGGGGGUGAAAGGCCAAUCAAACCGGGAGAUAGCUGGUUCUCCCCGAAAGCUAUUUAGGUAGCGCCUCGUGAAUUCAUCUCCGGGGGUAGAGCACUGUUUCGGCAAGGGGGUCAUCCCGACUUACCAACCCGAUGCAAACUGCGAAUACCGGAGAAUGUUAUCACGGGAGACACACGGCGGGUGCUAACGUCCGUCGUGAAGAGGGAAACAACCCAGACCGCCAGCUAAGGUCCCAAAGUCAUGGUUAAGUGGGAAACGAUGUGGGAAGGCCCAGACAGCCAGGAUGUUGGCUUAGAAGCAGCCAUCAUUUAAAGAAAGCGUAAUAGCUCACUGGUCGAGUCGGCCUGCGCGGAAGAUGUAACGGGGCUAAACCAUGCACCGAAGCUGCGGCAGCGACGCUUAUGCGUUGUUGGGUAGGGGAGCGUUCUGUAAGCCUGUGAAGGUGUGCUGUGAGGCAUGCUGGAGGUAUCAGAAGUGCGAAUGCUGACAUAAGUAACGAUAAAGCGGGUGAAAAGCCCGCUCGCCGGAAGACCAAGGGUUCCUGUCCAACGUUAAUCGGGGCAGGGUGAGUCGACCCCUAAGGCGAGGCCGAAAGGCGUAGUCGAUG
rnacentral:rRNA from 1 species